rnacentral:rRNA from 1 species
GAUGAACGCUGGCGGCGUGCCUAAUACAUGCAAGUCGAGCGAACAGACGAGGAGCUUGCUCCUCUGACGUUAGCGGCGGACGGGUGAGUAACACGUGGAUAACCUACCUAUAAGACUGGGAUAACUUCGGGAAACCGGAGCUAAUACCGGAUAAUAUAUUGAACCGCAUGGUUCAAUAGUGAAAGACGGUUUUGCUGUCACUUAUAGAUGGAUCCGCGCCGCAUUAGCUAGUUGGUAAGGUAACGGUUUACCAAGGCAACGAUGCGUAGCCGACCUGAGAGGGUGAUAGGCCAGACUGGAACUGAGACACGGUCCAGACUCCUACGGGAGGCAGCAGUAGGGAAUCUUCCGCAAUGGGCGAAAGCUUGACGGAGCAACGCCGCGUGAGUGAUGAAAGUCUUCGGAUCGGAAAACUCUGUUAUGAGGGAAGAACAGAUGUGUAAGUAACUAUGCACGUCUUGACGGUACCUAAUCAGAAAGCCACGGAUAACUACGUG